rnacentral:rRNA from 2 species
ACAUACAACCAUAGGCACCUGGAUAAAAUCGGGUCCCGUCCGCUCUCCCCUAGAUAAGCCGGUGACCGCCAGAUCAGCAAUCGGCUCGGUAACGACCGGCGAAUAACCUGGUGUUGUAUGUC